GUUUGAUNNGGCNCNGNAUGAACGCUAGCGGCAGGCUUAACACAUGCAAGUCGAGGGGUAUAUGUCUUCGGAUAUAGAGACCGGCGCACGGGUGCGUAACGCGUAUGCAAUCUACCUUUUACAGAGGGAUAGCCCAGAGAAAUUUGGAUUAAUACCUCAUAGUAUUAUUAAAUGGCAUCAUUUUAUAAUUAAAGUCACAACGGUAAAAGAUGAGCAUGCGUCCCAUUAGUUAGUUGGUAAGGUAACGGCUUACCAAGACGAUGAUGGGUAGGGGUCCUGAGAGGGAGAUCCCCCACACUGGUACUGAGACACGGACCAGACUCCUACGGGAGGCAGCAGUGAGGAAUAUUGGGCAAUGGGCGCAAGCCUGAUCCAGCCAUGCCGCGUGCAGGAAGACGGUCCUAUGGAUUGUAAACUGCUUUUGUACAGGAAGAAACACUGGUUCGUGAACCAGCUUGACGGUACUGUAAGAAUAAGGAUCGGCUAACUCCGUGCCAGCAGCCGCGGUAAUACGGAGGAUCCAAGCGUUAUCCGGAAUCAUUGGGUUUAAAGGGUCCGUAGGCGGUUUAGUAAGUCAGUGGUGAAAGCCCAUCGCUCAACGGUGGAACGGCCAUUGAUACUGCUAAACUUGAAUUAUUAGGAAGUAACUAGAAUAUGUAGUGUAGCGGUGAAAUGCUUAGAGAUUACAUGGAAUACCAAUUGCGAAGGCAGGUUACUACUAAUGGAUUGACGCUGAUGGACGAAAGCGUGGGUAGCGAACAGGAUUAGAUACCCUGGUAGUCCACGCCGUAAACGAUGGAUACUAGCUGUUGGAAGCAAUUUCAGUGGCUAAGCGAAAGUGAUAAGUAUCCCACCUGGGGAGUACGUUCGCAAGAAUGAAACUCAARGRAAUURC
rnacentral:rRNA from 1 species